CUACGUGCCAGCAGCCGCGGUAAUACGUAGGGCGCAAGCGUUGUCCGGAAUUAUUGGGCGUAAAGAGCUCGUAGGCGGCUGGUCGCGUCUGUCGUGAAAACUUCCGGCUCAACCGGGGGCUUGCGGUGGGUACGGGCCGGCUAGAGUGCGGUAGGGGUAACUGGAACUCCUGGUGUAGCGGUGGAAUGCGCAGAUAUCAGGAAGAACACCGAUGGCGAAGGCAGGUUACUGGGCCGUUACUGACGCUGAGGAGCGAAAGCGUGGGGAGCGAACAGGAUUAGAUACCCUGGUAGUCCAUGCCGUAAACGUUGGGCACUAGGUGUGGGGGACAUUCCACGUUUUCCGCGCCGUAGCUAACGCAUUAAGUGCCCCGCCUGGGGAGUACGGCCGCAAGGCUAAAACUCAAAGAAAUUGACGGGGGCCCGCACAAGCGGCGGAGCAUGCGGAUUAAUUCGAUGCAACGCGAAGAACCUUACCAAGGCUUGACAU
rnacentral:rRNA from 1 species